rnacentral:rRNA from 1 species
UACAGAGGUCUCAAGCGUUGUUCGGAUUCAUUGGGCGUAAAGGGUGCGUAGGUGGCGUGGUAAGUCGGGCGUGAAGUUUCGGAGCUUAACUCCGAAACUGCAUUCGAUACUGCCGUGCUUGAGGACUGGAGAGGAGACUGGAAUUUACGGUGUAGCGGUGAAAUGCGUAGAUAUCGUAAGGAAGACCAGUGGCGAAGGCGGGUCUCUGGACAGUUCCUGACGCUGAGGCACGAAGGCCAGGGGAGCAAACGGG